AAUAGGCCAGUGUAAUAGUAGUAGAGAAAGCAUUGAGAGAUAUAAAGAAUAAGAAAAUAGUAAAGAUAAAGGGUUGAAGUUAUGAAGAGCUUCAAAUGCCAAAGUAGGUAAUAGAGACCUCAGAGGUAAUAGAGAGCCAUGGAAUUAUGGAGUCAGGAGGUAACAAGAUCAGGACUAUGUUUUAGGAAGACGAACUGGAAUGCUGAGUGGAGGAUGGACUUCAAUGGCCAGAGGCUUGAGGCUUUGGACCCCUACUAACUUGCUCAUUUAUUUAUAACUACACGGAGUGCCACAUUUUGGUUGCAAGGAAAGGGCAGAAGAAAAGAGAUCUUCAGCUUCACCCUACCCCUUUUCAGUUUUGCUCUUAGGCUUAUCCGUAUAGAUCAUUCUUGGCAUCAUGAAAUGGAAAAAAAAAAAAAGAGUCUUUUAAAGUACAUUUUUCCCAUAUUGCCAUUCAGACUGAGGCCACACAAUUAUCUGAGUUAUGGUCCAAAAUUGCUUUUAACUCCAAUCAUAUUCUCAUAAUGUCAGUCAUGUUUCAUACAAAUUGCCUUACAGGAAUAAAUGAAAUAGAAUGGGUGGAACUGGACACUUUGCACCCUCCCAGCAACAAAAUCUCUGUUAUCACAACAUCUCAACUUAAUCCUAAGUGAGUUUCUGUGCUUUCCCUGGGCAGAUGCCAUGAUAAAAAAGAAUGCUUUUAUCAUAAGAAUACUUUUAAAUUUUAGUUUGUAACUAUUUGAAUAGCAAUUUAAUUGUUUAAUUAGAAACAACACUAAAUAUCAGCACAAAAAAUUAAUCCUGCCUUCACAACUAUAUAUCAUAUUCCCAUAAGGUAUUGUUUCUUUUCUUUCUGGAAUACCAUACCUGUAAAUUAAACUAAUUAAUGGUGAUGCAUAAAGUACAAUUUUUUUUCCAUUUCCCCCACUAAGUUCAUAACAUUAUGUUCUAUCCAUUCAUUCAUUCUAAACUAUUUUUACCCAUACGAUUGUAGUAUGUGCAUCAUUCUGCAAAUAAUUAUGCUAUAUCAUUCUAUUAAUUACUAUUUAUUGAUUCAUUCCCCUAUUGUGACAUAUUUAAAGAACUAAUUUUUUUUGCAGUUACAUAUAAAGCUACCAUGAAAACCUUCUAAAAGACAGAUCUAUUUUUUCAUUUUUUUUUGUUAUUGAUAACACUUUCAGAGUAGUGGCUUAACAGAGAAAUUGUUGAGUCUGAAGAGGAUGCUAUUAUUCAGUCAUUUAAAAUUAUGUCUGACUUUUUGUGAUACCAUUUGGAGUUUUCUUAGCAAAAAUAAUGAAGGGGGUUGUCAUUUCCUUCUCCAGCUCAUUUACAGAUGAUGAAACUUCAGCAAACAGGGUUAAGUGAUUUGCUCAGAGUCACACUAAAAAGUAUGUAAUUAUUUUUACUACAUAUUUGCUCAACAGAAAGAGUCUACAAGUUUAUAAUUCCAACAGCAAUGAGUAAGGGUCUCUGAGUAUGUAGUUUUUUUUUUCUAAGCAUGGAUUCAUUGAGAGAGGUUCUACAGUAAGGAUCAAAAUGGCA
rnacentral:lncRNA from 1 species